rnacentral:rRNA from 1 species
UCGCCUGUUUAUCAAAAACAUGUCCUUUUGUUUUUAUUUAAGGUCAGACCUGCUCAAUGAAUUUUUAAAUGGCCGCGGUAUCCUGACCGUGCAAAGGUAGCAUAAUAGUUUGUCUUUUGAUUAAGGACUUGUAUGAACGGUCAUACGAAAAAUUAACUUUCUUUAUUUUAUAUUAAUGAAUUUUAUUUUUGUGUUAAAAAGCAUAAAUGAUCUUAUUAGACAAUAAGACCCUAUAAAACUUGAUUUUUUAAUUAUAAAUAUUUUGAUUUAGUAGUUAUUUAAAAUUUGUUUUUGAAAAAUUUUAUUGGGGUGAUAGGUAAAUUUUUUUAACUUUAUCUUAACAGUAUCAUAAAUUAAUGUUUGUAGUGAUCCAAU